UCUACUUCCGCACGUUGGUCUAGUACGUCACAGUUUAUUACAAAAAACCGUGUUUAUAUAACGAUAAAGUUAGCGACGCUAAUGCCUUUCGCAUCUAGUGUUUAAACAGUGAUGUGGUUUUAGUUGGUCCAAAAGCGACAACGUAAAGAACACAGCCCUAGUUUUUGGGCGUUUGAAAUCGGACACCGCUGUAACGUCUCCCUUCUGCGCGGAGGGAUACACUGACAAUGUGGACGGUGCUACAAUGUCUCCUCGGAAGAUGAAAUGUUGCAUUUGUAGAGCUCAAUAAGAAUUAGAAUAGAACUUUAGCCGGAGUAACAUUUGAGCUGUUACAUCUUUACAGAUCUUGGAACACGGACUGUUCGAGUUUCCCGGGAAAUACGGCGCGGUUUUGCGGGUCCUGAAUCACGGAGGGGGGGAAAUUGUGUCCCCCAACUUUUCUGUUUUUCCUCACGGACUGAAGCGCGUAUCUCUCCCGCUGGAUGCCGCACGCUUGAAGCGAGAAACGUAUCAUAAACCAGUUUGAGCUUAGAAAGAACUCAAGUGAGCGAGAGAACACGUACGAUCAGGAUGGCAACGGCGGGGACUGACAUGGAGCUGAACGAUCUGCUGGAUUUCACUCUUAUGUUCCCACAUCAGAUGCCAAAUGGGAAGAACAGAGGCCCUGCAUUACCCACAAGUCAGUUUGGACUAGAUGAGAGAAGCGGGCCAGGCCCUUGGGCUCCAGGAGAAUCUAACAGUCCUUCCUACACACGGGGUUAUGGAGGCAGCACUCAUUACAGUGAGCAUGACGGCAUGUACAAUGUAGGAAUUGACGGUAAAUCUGAAAGAGGCUAUCAGUUUGGCACACAGCCGCAGCUCUUGUCAAGUGAAAUUGGCAUCUCUGGUUCUGAUGGUCUUUCCCCUCCGGCCAUGAAACCGUCUUCUCAGUUCUACCCUUAUAUCAACCGCAGAAGGGUGGGCGAACCCACUAUAGAUCCACCACCUAAAAAGAUCCGUAAGGUUCCUGAUGGAUUGCCGACAUCGGUCUAUCCGGGUGCUACAGGUGAGGACUAUAACCCGGACAGCACUGGAUACCCUGGAGCCAAAGCUGGAAACCUCUAUCCGGGAUUUUUCGUGCAAGAUAGCCUACAGGACCACUGGGGUCCAUCUGGUUAUUCACCUGUUAUGAGUAACUCACCUCACAUGGGUCAGCCGGCACCCUUCUCCUCCAUAAACGCACAGAAGAGACAGCCUCUGCCGUUAUCACCGCAGAACUACCCUCUGCACGGCAGCGAGGUGAAUAUACCCGCGGGUUUCCACUCGACUUCAGUGGGAUACGGGGUUCCCAAUCAUACGCCGCCCAUCAAUGGAUCAGACAGCAUCAUGGUAAACAGGGGAGGAAAUGCUGGAAGUUCAGGUGCUGAGAUCGGGAAAGCUCUUGCUUCAAUAUAUUCGUCUGACAAUAACGGCAACAGCUUCCCCUCAAACCCCUCCACUCCUGUGGGCUCUCCUUCAAACGUUGCUGCUUCUGCAUCUCAGUGGCCCAAGGGUUCUUCUCAGCCCGCUUCAUCACCCGGCUUUGAAGCAAGUCUACAGCCACCGAGUAAGUUGGACGAUCGUUUGGGUGAAGCUCUGCAUGUGUUGAGGAAUCAUGCAGUUGGCGGACAGGGUCUCACCGCAGACAUGCAGAGUUUAUUGACUGCAGCAGUUUCUGGUCAUGCGGCCGGUGCGCUGGGCUCCAUCAGUCAGGUGUUUGGACUCUCCAACCGGCUGAUGAGCAUGAUGUCCAAUCUCAGUGAUGAUGCAGCAGGUUUACCGCCGUCUGCCGCUCCUCUGCAGGGACACCACACCUCUCACCAAGCCCCGCCCACUUCACCAUCCGAUGUCUUUACCAAUCUCUCCAGCGCUCUGCCUCGUUCCUCACAAUCCACCGGCUCAGAUAUAAAGCGGGAAGACAAGGAAGAUGAUGAGAAUCUGUCCAUCGCUGAUAAAUCAGAGGAUGAGAAGAAAGAUGGAAAGAGCCACACACGAUCAAGUUUUGACGACGAAGAUGAUGAUGAGGAUUUGCCAGUCGAGGUGAAGGCGGAGCGAGAGAAAGAGCGGCGCGUUGCCAAUAACGCCCGUGAGCGUUUGCGUGUGCGCGACAUCAACGAGGCCUUCAAAGAGCUCGGCCGCAUGUGCCAGCUGCACAUGAACAAUGAGAAGCCGCAAACCAAACUGCUCGUCCUGCACCAGGCCGUUAACGUUAUUCUCAACCUGGAGCAGCAAGUGCGAGAGCGUAAUCUGAACCCUAAGGCCGCGUGUCUGAAGAGAAGAGAGGAGGAGAAGGUCACAGGAGAUCCUCAGAUGUUGUCCGGUCUGGGUGGAGAUGGACAUGGCCAUAUGUAACGCUCAGAUCCCGACAUGGAAAGGAAGCUCUCUGUCGACGUGGCCUUAACUUCCUGUUAUUGUUCCAGCACACACACAUACACACACAUUCUUGAUUUAUAUAUUAUAAACAGAUGUGUUGGAUGACUCUCAAAUAUACAUACUUAGUACACUUCCUGAGCUGCUUAUGCAGUUCUAAAAACCAGUAUGUACACACACAUCAUGGACCAUUGGUGGAUUUCACACAUAAGAAACAGCAUUUAAAGGGCCUGGAAUGCCCUGCUGUUGUGAUUAUGAAUUACUGUGUGCUGUUAUAUAGCACAUACACGCCUAAACAUGAGCUUUUGUAUUAAACACAAGGUCAGGCUCCACUGAGGGAACAUCAAACUCUUUUUGUUGUUGUAAUUCAUAUAUUCUUUUGUAGUUUUGUGUUUUAAGACUAGAAACGAGAUAAAUGGUGUUGCCAUUCACUUUUGAAACGCAACGUUUGUGGUUUUGCUUCAGGACUGCCACUAAUGGGUGAAUCUCACAAGACUUCAUAAAAAAUACGAAAAAUAUGUUGCGUAAAGAAAAUAAGUCCAUUUUUAGGACUAUUAAGAUUUUUUGCAUUGUGACAAUACCAAAUUCUCAUGACUCUAAUUUUGGGGGAAAAGAUACAUUUAUUUAAAUUGAAAAGUAUUUAUAAAUCGUGGUAAUAUUUGGUGUGCUUCCUUUAUGCUGAUUUGAGAAAAAAUAAAUCAUUGCAUUUCAAUAUUUUUUUUAAUUUUUUUUUUAUGUAAAAUUAAGUAUAAAAUUACUGUAACGAAUCUAAUCGAUAUCUCCAUUACAGUAAUGAGAAUUUAUGGGGGAAAAUAAUGUUAAUGUUAUAAAAUCUUAAUGGUCCUAAAAAGUCUCCAUUAUGCAAAAAAAUUAAAAUAUAUGUCAGGUUGUUUUUGUUUUUUUUUUUUUUUUUUUUUUUCGUAAAAAGUUAUUUUAACUUUUUUACUGUGUGUGUGUGUGUGUGUGUAUGUGUGUGUAUGUGUAUAUAUAUAUAUAUAUAUAUAAAAUAUACAAUCUUUUUUUUUUUUUUGCAUAAAGAGUAAGGUUUCAUAUAAUGAGAAUUUAUGGGGGAAAAUAAUGAUAAAUUAAUGUUACAAGAUCUUAAUGGUCCUUAAAGAAAUCUCCAUUAUGCAAAAAAAAAAAAUUAUAAAUUUUUAUGUGUGUGUGUAAAUAUAUAUAUAUAUAUAAAUAUUUGUAUCUUUUGAAAUAACCUGGACUUUUUUUCUUUUUUUUUUUUUUUUUUUUUUUUUUGGGGGGGGGGUGAGAUUCACCAUAAUAUCUGCCAUCUCGCCGAAGCACCAGAGCUUGUUUCUCUCUUUGUUUCCUUAAGUGGAUUUCUUAAGUAUUGGAAAACGCUGGAUCCUUGGAAAUGUAUUUCUAGUUUUCAAUUAACUUGUUUGUUUUUUUUCUUGUCACGAACUGAACCACAUUUAUCAACUACAGAAAACCACUUAAUCUGUCAGAAACGUCUCUUUAUCCACAUGCUGUGACUGAAUCUUUGAGCAUUUCAGCGACGUAUUAGCACACAGUUCUGACCGUGGUGUUUUUCUCGAGUCGAUGUAUGAAUUUGGACGUAAUGUAAGCUGGACUUUGCUUUGAUUUCUCUUGUGCAGGUUAUGACAUAUCUGCUCGCACACGAUACAAACUGACUAUUUAAAUAGUUAACAAAUAUUUACAGUGAAUUGCUAAAACUGUCAGGGGUGUUUGUGCAUUUUAUCAACUUUAAAAUGGAACACGUUCAUCCGAUGUGCUGCCACUUCUUGUCAAUAUUUCUACAAAAAGUAGAGAAAAAUAGGUUUUGCAGAGGGUCUUUACAAGACGACCCUUGAGUUGUAAAACUUUUUCUUUUUAACUUUUUUUUUAUAUAAAGAUCUGUUUAAUGUUUGUGUGUUUACCUAUUUGUUUUUUGUUAUUAUCUAUGUUGAUUUUAAAUGUUAGAUAUGGCAAAAUUUAGUGCAGAAGUAUGCCAGGAACAAAUUAUGUUUCAUAAUUUUGUUGCAAUUUUUUCAUUAUGUUUUAUAACAGGAAUGCAUGGAAUGAUAAUUAGUCUUUUUUUUUUUUUUGUUGUUGUUUGUUUUCCUUGUAUAAGAAAUUAGAGAGGCCAAUUUUGCGUUCUCACACACAGAUAUUCCUUAUUGUUUGUAAGGUAAAUAAUCACUGUGGAAAAUACUUUUGCUUUUGUGUGUCAAUACCUGCCCCGAAUUUUAAAAGACCAACUAUAGUGGUUUCAUUCGUGGACAUCAUGUUUUUGUUCCAGAAUGAAAGGAAAAUAUACUGAGUUUAUCUCUAGAGAGCAUUUUGUUUUUCUUCAUUAGUACUAACAUCAUCUUUAACAGCUAAAAGAUGAUUUAUAUGAAUUAAUCUCGUUUAUGUAUUGCAAAAAUGUAAACUCUUCAAGGAGAGAGAGUGGCCUUCUGCAUUCUCCAGACUUCCAUGCGUUGGGGAGUCGGUCACGGGGAAUAAUAAUGUAUCAGUGCCUGCAUCUUUUUGUUCAGUUUUAUCCUGUAGUCAGUCAGGUUUUUAUUGGAACGUCACGUCUUGUGGCUUCAUUUGAGAAUAUUUUAUAAAUUCACAAGAAGAGGGACAUGAGAAUUUCACAUGUAUGUAAAGUGAAUUCUUGCUCUGAGCAAAUAAAGUACUUUCUUUGUAAAAAGUGA